UACAUUUUGAAGACUUUUCCAUGUAAACCCUAAUCUCUCCCCAUCUGUUGUGUAAGUGUUCACCCUAAUUCUACAACCUAACUGCUUUCACCCUCCCAAUCUCGCCCUCUUAUAUUCCCGAAUCCAACGCGCCCGCCGCUCCAAUCGCGAUGCCCUCGCCCUAUUCGCCGGUGACGGGGAUUCUCUGCCACGCCUAACAUCCGCCGCACCAACGGCACCGGGAAUACGGCGUACAGGUACGACAAACUCUGUGAUGUCGUUGAUGGCUCCAAUGGCCCUAAAAGGUUCAUGAGACCCAUGUCGCAGGCGAGUUUCUGCUUGCAGACUAGGGGGCACUUCCACUCGGGGGUCAACGUAUGAGGCGAUCCUCGUUGUGUGUAUGCUGGUGUUCUUCGAGGGUCUUUCUGCAAAGUCUCAAUAAUCGUGGCAUUUGCCCGAGAACGAGUUUGGGGUUUCUCUGUUUCUCUGCUUCCCACCCCUUCCAUUAAGCCAGCUUUGUCUGGGACAAAGCAAAGUAUACAACUCCAGAACUUCGGAACUUGUGGAAGUGGUUCUGCAAGGGAGAGAUGGGCCAGUUUUCUGUUAUGGUUCCACUGGAGUUGGGAAAACUUACGCAAUGCUUGGUACAGUUUAGAGCACAGGGGUGAUGGUGUUGGCAAAUAAGGACCUUUUCAGUAAAAUCAGUCAGAGAAGUUGUGAUGGAAACCAUGUCGUUCAUCUGUCCUAUCUUGAGGUUUAUAAUGAAACUGUGAUAGAUUUGCUUUCACCUGGAAGACCUCUGGUUCUUAGAGAAGAUAAACAGGGUCUGAUUCUGGUUCAAGAAGUUUCUCAUCAUCAAUUGGGGGGACAACAACCAACUAUGCUAUUGUGGUGCUCCAUGUAAGGUUCGAGAUUGUAAAACUGAAGGAACCCCGGGAGGAAGUUUUUGGGUUGUAGAAGACAUGGUGGGUCUUCCACACAUUGUGAUUUCCUUUUUUGGUGUGAUGACACAAGUCCAAGAUCAAUGAAGUUUCGCAUUGAUUUAUUGAAGAACAUAAAACAGGUGAAGAAGUGGUAGCAAAAAAUGCACAAGUGUUGACCUUGGAGGGAAGCAAGUAAGAAUGGAAAUAUUUGUCUUGGGAAGAAGUUAAGAAUAGUCAUAGCUUGUCAACUAGUGCUUGUGGCAUACGUUUGGUUCAAUAUUUGUAAAUGAGUGGUUUGAUCGAGCUAUCUAUAACUUAAAACUAUUAUGAACCACUCUUGGCUCACAUAUUCAACUGAUAUGAAAUCUUGGGUUUGCAUAUGAAAA